rnacentral:lncRNA from 1 species
UUGUAUUGCUGAACGAUACAUUGUUGAAGAGGCUGCUGAAUUUUGUACUGAAUAUCUGUCCAAUGUUGAAUCCAUAGGGCUUCCCAUGUCUCGUCAUUCGGGAAGAAUAUCAGGAGAAGGGAUAAUUGGAAGGAGACUACUGACUAUAUCAAGGACAAAAUGGGAGUAGGCACAAUUGUAUGUUCUGCACAAUGAUGAUGAGGUUCAACCGUAUGUUACAAUACACUUGGAUCAGUUAUCUCGUUUGAACAUGAAUAGGAAUCAAAAUUGGAUAACUCGAGAGCACAAUCGAAGUUUUAUAACAUGGUUAAAAAAUCACAUAAAGUCAAAAUUUGAUAUAGACCCCGGAUCAAUUUCACAGAGAUUGAGGUGGCUAGCAAAUGGUCCGAGCUUACAUGUCUUUUCUUACACUGGUUAUGUUAUUAACGGCUACACAUUUUAUACCAAAGAACAAGAUGAUCAGACCACUAUGCAAAAUAGCGGAGUCACUCUCGUAGCUGAAGCGAUGCAUGUCUCAAGUGCAAAAGACAAAAACCCAAUAUAUGCAAAUCUAUCAUAUUUUGGGGUUAUCGAGCGCAUAUGGGAGUUAGACUACACAAUGUUUCGUGUUCCCAUAUUUGGUUGCAAGUGGGUCGAUAAUAAUAAUGGCGUUCGGAUUGAUGAGUCAGGAUUCUUGCUUGUCGAUUUUAAUAGGGUGGGAUACAAAGACGAGCCUUUUAUUUUAGCGUCGCAAGCUCAACAAGUGUUUUAUGUCACUGAUCCUUCUGAUGAUAAAUGGUCUGUUGUCCUAUCGACCAAUAAAAUAAGUGAUGAUAACAAUAAUGAUGAAGAUGUUGGUAAUGAUCUUUUAUUUGCAACAUCACAACAACCACAUGAAAUUGAUUCAACUGAUGAUGGUUUAUAUCUUAGAGAUGAUCAUGAUGAGGGAAUUUGGAUUAAUCCAUCGUUUCGUAUUGUAAAUGGACAAACAAAUGUGAAUGCCACCAGGAAAAGAAGAAGGGCAUCUUAAUGUAUAUGUUUAAUUGUUUUAUAUAAGCCAUGCAUGUAAUCUGAAUUAUUGUGAUAAAUAUGAAUAUAAUCUGAAUUAUUGUGAUAAAUAUGCAUGUAAUUUGAAUUGAGUGUUUUAUACUAAUAUGGCAGAAUUGAGUGUUUUAUACUAAUGUCACUUAUAUAAUGUAAAUUAAGUGCCAAUUCGAUUGGAAUGAAUGUCUGAUCAGUUACAGUCAUCCAAAAUUGAACCCAAAUAAAACCAACACAAAAAUAACAUACUGAGAUAUUUUACAGCGCUAUUUAUAAAAAGCACUGUAAACGACCCUUUUGAAAAUAAGUAAAAAUGACAUUUUACAGCGCUUAUUUGAAAAAGCGCUGUAAACAGCUUUAUUAAUAAUAAUUAUCAGACACCUAACAUGACUAUCUCUAACAGGAUUUUCUUCAAACACCUUGUACGCAUCAUGGGAAUCCCCAAAAACACAUUGUCAUACAUUUUUUUUGCAUUCUUGAUGCUUCGUUUAGUCUUUGCAUAUUUGACUUUGAUACCUUACCUCAUACAUAUUUGUGUCAUACACAUAUUUGGACCAAAUUGUCAUUUCGUUCCCAUUGUUUUUGAGUUGUUUAUGUAAGAAAACUUACUAUGUAUCUUUACUUUUAUGAAAACAUAACAAACAUGUCAGUCUCCAAAUUCCGAAUAAAUUUGGCCCCUAAAAUAAUUAUCUCUAUCCAUUGUUGCAAGGAAGAAGUAUUUCAAGUUUCUAUGUUAUCGAUUCUUCCAAACUUUCACUUAUCAACUGUAGAUGGUCUAUAUAAAAUAUUGGGUGAGAAGCUUAUGGACCAAUAAACUAUUUAUAGGUAUUCUACCAUAAAGAAUUCAUUGAACAUUCAUUUUCACAAUUAUAAUGUACAUGAAAGUUAUGGUCUUGCAUAUGCAUAAUUCAUGAAGCACUAAUAUUAAGAUAUGGUCUUUCAUAUGCAUAACUCAUGAACCACUACCAUCAUGAAGGAUAUCAAAUAGUUUGGAUCACUUAGUAUAAAUUUUAUGGUAAAUUAUUAUAGUUUCAUUGAUAAUAUAUAUGAGUGUGUCUUCCUUUGAUUAGUUUUUCGUAUUUGUCAUUUUAAAUUCUCUUAGUUUUGUAGUUUUCCUUCUUGAAACACUUGUGUUUAUAGCUUUUGUGGACUUGUUGCAUUGUGUUUAGAUUCUUGCUUGGAUAUUUUUAAGAAAUUGAUAGAGAAGUUUGAGUGGAAAAGGCAAUAGUGAAUAUCAUAGGAAAAGUCUAAAUUAACUAAAGCGCGAGUGAAAAAUGUAAGAGUGUAAACAUUUUGUUUAUUGGAAAAGACCUUUUUAUUUUAUUAUUUUAUUUUUAACUUGAUUUAUUUUUUUCAUGUCGAGGUUCUGUUCUAGAGAUUAUGAUAGGAGUGAAGGUGGUAUGAGAGGAGACAUAGAGAAAAUAAAUGAGACUUAGAGAUUUUUAGAUUUUGAGAGGGAUGAUAGAAAGUAUGCAAAAGAGAAAAUAUAUAGAGAAUAUAAAAAGGAGUAUUAGGAAAAAGAGAAUGGAUAUCCUAUAUGUUGUAUUAGAUCUGGAGUAUGUUAAAUAUAUUUAUCAAAAUGGGCAUACAAAAGUGGCGAGAAAUAUAAAGAAACUAGCUUUGAUAGUAAAUGAAGAAAAAAAAAAAAAGUGGAAGAAAAGUUUAGAAUGUCUUUGAAAAGGAAGACAAAGAGAAAAAAAAUCUUUGAGACACAAAUAGAGAAAAAAGGAGAGUAUUCUUCUAACAAAAUAUAUGAGUGCUUCCUUAUCUUUUAGGUAUAAUCCUUUGUCUAGCUUCAAUAAUUCUCUUGAGCAAGAGCUUAAAAAGGUGUCUCCAAAAAAUAAAUAUCAACAAUAAAUUGAAUUUGAGACUAACAAGAAAGAUAAGGAUACAAUUGAAAGUAUCUUCAAAGAAAAAAGUAAGGUGAAUGGAGCGUUGAAGAUGUUUGAAGGUGUUGGGCCACGAUUCCACAAAAUGAAGUUUGCAAGCUAAGUUUUGGUUUAUCCACUUGCCUCUUUUAAUUGAUAGUUCUCUUGUUAAAGGAUCAUCCUCUCUUUGUGUUGAGAACAAUAUCAAUGUGACACAACUUGCCAUAGAACGUUUGCAAAAACAAAAUAACUUCUCUCUUAUCUCCAAGUCUUAUUUGAGAAAGGUAAAUUUGGUCAUAAAUAUUAGCAUCAAAAGGUAUAAUUUUUCUCUCAUCUUUAAAAUUACCUUGACUUUGAAUGUGAACUAAUGUUAAUUGCACAAGAUGGAAAUUUGUUUCACUGUCUUACCACAUUUGGUGGCUUAUCCAAAUUUCCAUUUGACCCCGGUGCAUAUGAUGGACUUGUGGUUGAUUUGGGUUCUUAUUUCAUGUAAGGUAUAAUGGAGCUUAAAUUCGAUAUCGAAUUUCUUCAAGAAGGAGUGAAUGAUAAGGAUUUUAAGAACAUGAAGAUAAUUCAUAUUUUAAUAAAUUAGGAUGAAGAUAAUCCAUAUUUUAAUAAUUUCUCUUAGUUUAUUUUAAUUUAGAAUUGUAAUAGUUUUAAUUUAGAUUUGGUUGAUGUCAUGUGUUAGUGAAGAUACUUUGCUUCCUUAAAUUUAGUUUAUUUUAGAAAAAUAUGAUGUAAGCCCAAUAUGGGCCUAGAGAUCGUUCCACUUGUGUCCCAUGUAGAUUUAGUGGGUCUUUGUUUUAAUUAGGUUUUGUAACCUCAUUUGAUACAACUUUGAAAUGAAUUAUAAUUUCUCUUAAAUUAGAACUUUCAUGGAUUUUAUCAACAACUUUCUUACCAUUGUGGCAAUUUCUCAUUGGCUUGUCAAUUUUUUACGUUGCAGUGCCUUCAUCCUUCUUAUCCCUGUAUUAUAUGUUUGUUUAUUUCUUUUUCCUUUUAUUUUUCUACUUUGUUUGAAUAAAUCACUUUUUGGAUCCAUUAACUCAUGUAGAAACACUCAAAUCCACAUCAAUAAUGAUGAAAGAAAUUCAAGAGGAAACUUAACAGGUAAUGUUUGUUUGCGUGUCAUGAAUGUCCAAAAACCACAUGUUAAGAGAUUGUGAUGAAGUUAAAGAUUUUUGAAAUGAUCUCAUUAACUCAUAUUAUUGUAGUACAAUUUUUAGCCUUGGUAUGUUAAAUUAGUUAGUUUGGAAUUUGUCUACCAACCAACGAUAUUGGUCAAGUUUAGUCUACUUGGAGUUUUUUCUUGGGUAUGGUUAUGUACGAUAUUAGAGUUCUUCCUCUCUUGGUAAGUAAAGCUUUUGUUUACCAGGGUCUUAAUCUGGCAUAACCUCAAUAUUCUUCAUCUAAUUAGGAAAUAGGAAUUGUUUGAAAUAAACCCACUAAAAGUUGGUUGAAGGUAAAUGUGAAAGGUCCCUUCAGAGUUUCUACUAAGAGAUCUUCUUGUUGAAAUCAAGUUGGUUUUAUACUUAGAGUUUUGAUGAUUACAAAACUAUUUUAUGAGAACAAUUUAUUUUACUUCAAAGAGUAUAAAAGAAGAGUUGCAUUUUUGAAGAAAAUCUAAAAUAAGAUUUUAUUCAUAUUUAUUAAUUGAAGAAAAUAAAAAAUAAGAUUUGAUUAAGAUUUAUAAUUGAAGAAAAUUUAAAAUAAGAUUUGAUUCAAAUUUAUAAUUGAGUAAAAUCUAAAAUAAGAUUUGAUUCAUAUUUAUAAUUGAAGAAAAUCUUUGACCAAGGUGAAAAUAAGAUGGGGUCAAGAUUUGAAGAAGAUUUGAUCAAUAUUUAUCUACAACUAAAUAUGAAUAAAAUCAAUCUCAGGAAUUUACAAAGUCAAUCUGAACAAAAUAAAAACAUUAUCAAUCUGAAUGAUUUACAAACUCAAUCUGAACAAAAUACGAACAAAAUCAAUUUUAAGAAUUUACAAACUCAACCUGAACAAAAUAUGAACAUAAUUAAUCUAGAAGAAUUCAACUCCCCUUUCUCGUGUUUGCACCUUUACUACUUGUGGUAGACUUGUUCGAGAUGUAGUUGGUAGAUUUGUCAAAUGUUUUAUGAUAGAGUUAGUUCUUAUUUUGUAAUUUGGGCCAAACCGUGAGCUUUAAGGUUGGACAUCAAGUUUGUACAACAACUCAAUAUUGCCUCAGCUAUCAUCCUUAAAUAUGCAUAUUCAAUUGUGUAAUUGUAAAGUUCCUUAGUUAGUUUGUGACUUUAUGUUUUGAGUGAUUUCAAACUUAACUUAGUCUAGAUGAUGUGUGUUUUCUUUGUUGAUUCUCGUUCUCUUACAUAGGCUACUCAAACAAGCAUGAACUCAUGAAAAAGAAUAUUUCAUCAUGCAUAAGCUUUGGUGCAUGUUGUUUUAGCAUGCAUAACCUUUGUAGCAUGAUCGUUUUACAUUGGCACAAUUUGAAAAUUUCAAAAACCUUUUAUAAGUUAUUUUUAACUUUGUAAAUUGACUUACAGACAUAAAAAAAAAAAAAAACUCCCAGGGUUGUAAAUCGACUCACAAGGAGUUCAAUGAGUCAACUUUCAUUUUUGUGAAUCUAUUCACACUGCUCCAUACUUCAUAAUUUGUUAUUCAAACACGUGUAAAUUGAUUCACAAGAUAGUAAAUCGAUUGACCACGCAUGCCACUUGAUUUUUGACUGUUUUAUAGUAAUUAUGGCAAUUACAUAGUUGUUAUUUCUCAUAAAAAAUGUUUACAUUGAUCAAUCUUUUGCAUGCAUCAUAUAUAGGAAUUCAUAAAUAGUUCUAAAAAAAAAAAGGCUUUCACCCAUUCCUCAAACUCAUGCAUUCAAGAUCAUAGCAUAGAUUGAAAACUAUUUCUUGUUCAAGUCGCGUGAGCGAUUGGGUUUUGAAGCGAGAAACAAAAAGGUAUAUUAAUUGUUGGAGUGUGUAUGCUAGAUAUGGAUCAUCAAGGGGAUAUCGAUGGAUUACGUGUCGAAGGACUGAAGAAAGAGAUCUUCGGGAAUUCUAGAUAAGGUUUUCUAAGUUUCUAUCUUUCAAGGUUUAAAGUGGUAUCUUCAUCGCGAAGAUUUGUGUGUUUAUAAUUUUGGAGGAUUGUUCUAAGAUUCUGUGUUAAGAGCAUUUAGAAAGAAGGGUGUGUGUGCAUGUGUACGUAACAAUCGCUGAAUGAUGUUGUAAAUGUUGAAAAAUCAAUAUUAAAGGAAGAAACUCUCGUUCGAUUAAAUGGAAACAUAAUGUACUCUACAUGUGAGGACUAAGUAGAUGAACUUAUAUAAAUAGUCAUUUUUUUCCCUUACACUUUAAUUUCUUAAAUUUUAUUUGCUUCUUGAUUUUGUUAUAAUUGGCAUUCGGUGGAAAAUUUAUGUUUUAUGCAUAAUUAAUAGAAAGAUUGUGUUAUUAAUUAGAAUUUUCUAUUUUAUCUUGUCUUAAUUUCUAUGUGUUGAAUGAAAUUCUGAUUUUACAUUGUGUUUAAUAUAUUAGACUUUGAUUCAAUUUGAAAUUUUGAUUUAAUUUCUAUGUGUUGAAUGAAAUUCUGAUUUUACAUUGUGUUUAAUAUAUUAGACUUUGAUUCAAUUUGAAAUUUUGUAACACAAUAUAUUAGACUUUGAUUCAAUUUGAAAUUUUGAUUUCAAAUUGUUUCUAAUAAUUGUGAGUCAUUGACUUUUGUUUAGAGAUGUUUGUGAAUUUGAUUGAAGUUUAAAACCUUUCAAACUAUUUCAAUUAUAUUUCUACUUUCUUUCGUAAAUUUCUACUGAUUUGGACUUGUUUGAUUUCAAUAAUAUCCAACAUUUCUAAUUCAAAUUCCAAUAUACUAUAUACGCGAGUCCAACACAUUUAAAUUUAUGAUUUAACUAUAAAGGUAUAUAUUAAAUUUAUGAGUCCAACACAAUAUUCUUUUAUAAUAAUAAAAAAACUCUAAAUUUAUUAAACAAUGAAUCAAAAUACAUCGUAUAUAUGGAGGUAUACAUUAAAUUAUAUUUUUUGAAAUUAGUAAUUAAUAUAAUAAAGUCACUACAUAUAUAUUACAUUUUUGUUUAUAUAUAAAAUCCUUUCGGUCAAAUCACAAAAAUUAUAAAAGUUGAUAGUUGUAUUAAAUUUAUUAAUAAUUGUUAUUAUUUUUAUAAAUUUACUCUUCAAAAUAGUUAAUUAAUAACUUCAUUGUAAUAUAUAUUAUUGAUUGCAGAAAAAAUAUAAAUUAACAAAAAUUAUAAUAAAUAAAAUAUUUACGUAGUUGAAAAUUCAAUUAAUAAUAUACUAAUAGAUAGUCUUUCAUAAAAAAAAAGACAAAAGAUUGACCAAGAAAAAAUUACGAAAAUAAAAAAUUUAUGGAAAUAAAAAAAUGGAAAUUUUAAUUUUUUUAAUAGAGGAUAAAUUAUCAUUUUUAAGAUCCAUCUCUAUCCUAAAUUCAGAUUAAACUCUAUUAAUAGUGACUCAAUAUAUAGGUCUGUAUCUCUCGAAAAUUAUCUUCUUUCUUAUUCUGACAACAACUUUCAUGAUGGGUGCCAUUUGUUGUAGUCUAAAGAGGCCAGAAACUUCGGAAAAUCAUGAAAUUAAAGAUAGCAUCUCUUCUUUUGUUUACUCGGUAAUUUUUAUUUAUGUUAUAUGUAAUUCCAAAUUCCAAAUAAUUACUAAAUAUAUGUAUUUUUUAUAUCUUGAUCUAUUCUUCUUCUUCUUCUUCACAGUAUAGACACAGUGGAUCUCGUUCGACACCAUUUCCAUUAGCAAAGAAUCCGGCUACAAAUUUUGAAUUUGUGUGUUGGACAAUUUCUGCUAAAUCAACCAAAUCCAAUCCCAAAUAUUAUCUAUGUGAAUCCCAAGAUCACAAUGCUUGUCCUAAUGUUUUGAAGGUAAUGUAUUAAAUAAUUUAAUUAAGUUAAUUGUAACCAUUUUAAAAUAGUCACUCACAAACAAAGUUUAAUGAUUACAAAAAAUUAAAGUUGAAUUGCAGCCAAAAUUAAAAUAAAAAAAAAUCAAAUUAACUAAUUUUUUAUUUUAAAAUUAGAGACUUAGAGAUUUACUUUUUUUUUUCUUUCAAGAUUUCAAGUUUUUUGAGUUGUUACUAUUAAUGUUGUGAUGAACAGAUAACAUUGACACGUCACACGUAAAGCUAUUUAGAGGAUUUUAAUUUAAUAGGAUAAAUUCAACAAAGGUUGAUUAAAGAUUUCUUGUGUCACAUCAUCUUGAAGUAAUUCAUAUAUUUUUUAUUCUAACGAUAAACUCAACACGUAUUCAUUAAAUAGGGUCACUUGUGUCACAUCAUAUUGAAGCAACUCAUUUCUUUUUACUCCAACGGUGAACUCAACACGUGUUCAUUAAAUAGGGUCACUGUGCUACAUCAUCUUAAAGCAACUCAUUUAUUUUUUACAGUUUAACCCUUAAAAAUUAUAUUAGGUUUCACAACUUUAAUUUAUACAUUAAUAUUUUAUUUAUAUUUAAUUUUAUUACAAUUUAAAAUAUUAAUUUAAAUAUUUUAAUUAAUAUUAUUAUACAUUAUUUUAAUUUUAAUUUUAAUUUAAAAUAAAAUUAAACUUAAAUUUUUGUAACAAUAAUGAAAAUUAAAUGUUAAAUACGUGAUACAAAUAAUAAAAAAUUAUAAAAGUAAAUUAAUAAAAAAAGAUAACGGUCAUAAAGUACCGUUCUUUUUUUAGAGAACUGUGACAACAGCCUGACACAAUUGAAACAGUGAGCUCACAAAAAAUAGAAUUUUAUCGUAACUACAAAUUGAAAAAUGAACAUAUUUAGCAACUAUUGAAGAUGCUCUAAUGUGUAAAGAGUAUCCUACUAUUUAUGUAAUGGGUAUUCAAAAUUAAGAAUUUUUAUUUUAUAUGCAAAUUUUAGUGGUUAUUAAUUAGUUAAGGAGAGGGAAAAAAAAUUUAGUGUUAUGGAUCAAAUAUUGGACAUUUUAUCAUGAAAUUUUUUCAACAUCUCAAUUUUUAUACGGAGCUUCACAAGAAUAUUAAUAAACAUUAGAGAAAAAGAGGAGAGUGUCUAUAAUGAAUUCUCUCAUGUGAUAUAAGAGUACAUUGAAUUCUAACUCCUAUGAAGAAAAAAAGAAUGAUCCAUUCCCACGUUAGACAAGUAUGCAGUCUAGCUCAUAUUUCUCUCUUCUUGAUUUCCCAAAGACAGUUUGCAUAGUUUUUUUUUAAUCUUCUUUUAUCCUACUAAGUAUCUUUCACACACUUCGGUAUUUUAUUUAUUUAUUCUCGUUUUCAUUCUCUAAAAACGAUAUUGUUUUUAUUCCGUAUUGUUUGGUGUAAUAUUAUUUAUUUUUUUAUCUUGUUGUAGUAUUUGUAUCAUUCUGGUUACCAUAUUAAGUUCAUUUGAUUACAAAUGCCGUCAAAUGACUUUGCCACGGAUGCUUGAAUGGUAUUCUAAUCACUUAGAUUUUUUAAUAUUUGUAGGUAUUUUGUUGUUUUAUAUUAUUAAUUUGAGUGUUGUGAAUUUAUUGACGGAUUAGUUCUUUUUAGUUGUAGCCAUAUUAAAUUUGUGUUUUUCCAUAUAUUCUAACAAUUUGAGUGAGUGAAUAUCAUUUUAAUAAAAUAAAAAAAAAGUAUAUAAUAUAGCUCAUUUUGUGAUGUUUAUUAAAAAAAUAUUUUCCAUAACAUAAGUUACACCAUCAUACCAUAAUAAAUUUAACAAAAACUAAAAAAACACAGUACGCCAAAAAUAACAUUUUAUAGCGCGUCUUUUACAGCGCUUACUAAAUACAAGCGUUGUUGUAAAUAUAUUUUAAAAAUAACGGAGCAUAUAACAACGUUUUUUUGACAAGCGCCGUGGAAAAAGCGCCGUUGUAGGGUCAUAUAGCGUUUGUGCAUAAUGUUUACAAGGCUUUUACAGCGCUUUUACACAAGCGAUGUAAAAGACUUGCGCUUUCAAAUAAUUAAAUGACCUAUUACAACGUUUUUUUUACAAGUGCACCUAUUAGAGCGUUUUUGUUACAAGCGCUGUAAAAGGUCACAUAAUUGAAGGACCUAUUAGUGCGCUUAUUCUACAAGUGUCGUAAAAUCAUUCAUUUUAAAUAAAAAUCAUUUACUUUAAAUAAAUAAAAACAAAUUUAAAACAAAUUUACGAACCCUCAUCACCUCUACUCUGAGAACCCUCAUCUCCUCUACGUACUGUGCGGCCAUCUACUGCUCCUUCUUUAAACAAAAUUGGAUACGUUGUCUUAGGUACUGUAUUUAUUAAUUAGUUAUUGUCACGAAAACUAAUAAAUUGUUACAUAAUAAGUCUUUUCUUUUUGAAAUUUGUUGAUAUGUUCUGUUUUGAAAUCUUUUCUGUUUUGAAAUUGUUACAUAAUAAUGGACAUUGGUUUCCAUUUUCCAAUAUUAGAUAUUUGUACUAUAUAUUGGUAUAAUGUUAUCAGUAGCUUAUUAUUUUUGUAACUGCAUUUGUAUAGGUCAUAUAAUAUGGACUGGAAAUGGAUGUCUGCCAAUCGAUUGUCAAAAGAGUAUGAAAAUGGAGUGAAGGAGUUUGUUGAGUUUGCAGUGAAGAAUGCAAAAGAUCCAAAUAGAGUCGUUUGUCCUUGUUUAAAAUGUUGUUUUGGAAAACGCGUUAGAGAAGAUGAAUUGGAAUGACAUUUAGUAUGGAAUGGAAUUGAUCAAAGCUAUACAUGUUGGAUAAGACAUGACGAGAAAAAAAAAAAGGAAACAUUAAAUUUGAGAAUGGUUCAACAUAUGCUUCAACUGACUUCGAUACAGAUACAUAUGAGCUGGACCGAGUUGAGGAGAUUGCAAAAGCAGUUGAAGAAGAUCUUCGGGAUUGUCCUAAAAUGUUUGAGAGUUUGUUGAGUGAUGCAGAGAAACCAUUAUAUAAUGGUUGUAUUAAAUUCACAAGAAUGUCAGUGAUAUUAAAGUUGUACAACUUAAAAGCGAGUAAUGGAUGGUCUGAUAAAAGCUUUACAGAAUUAUUAACACUCAUAAAAGAUAUGUUGCCAGAUGAUAAUGAACUUCCCAGUCGAACCUACGAGGCUAAACGGAUUUUGUGUUCUAUUGGAAUGAGUUACGAAAGGAUUCAUGCGUGUCCUAACGAUUGCAUUUUAUUUCGAAACGAAUAUGAACUACUUAAGGCGUGUCCGAAAUGCAAUGUCUCUCGAUAUAAGAAGAAAGAAUCUACUCCAGCAAAAGUCGUGUGGUAUUUUCCUAUAAUACCAAGAUUUAGGCGCAUGUAUCGCAGUGAAGAAGAUUCAAAACACUUGACAUGGCAUGCAGAUGAAAGAAUUAGAGAUGGAAUGUUUCGACACCCUGCAGAUUCCCCACAAUGGGCAAAAAUUGAUCACGAGUAUCCUGAAUUCGGGAUAGAGUCAAGAAAUCUAAGACUUGCACUUUCUACUGAUGGAAUGAAUCCACAUGGUCUUCAAAGCAUCUCACACAACACGUGGCCUGUGAUUUUGUUGAUUUAUAACCUACCUCCAUGGUUAUGUAUGAACGUAAGUUUAUGAUGUUGUCUCUGUUAAUUUCUGGAUCCAAACAACCGGGGAAUGAUAUUGACGUAUACUUGACUCCUUUAAUUGAAGAUUUAAAAAUUAUGUGGGAGACAGGUGUGGAAGUUUAUGAUGGGUAUAGGAAAUAAUGUUUCAAUUUGAGUGCUAUGUUGUUCGACACAAUUAAUGAUUUUCCAGCAUAUGGUAAUUUAUCAAGAUAUAGCAUUAAAGGUCAGUGUGCAUGUCCUAUAUGUGAAGAGAGUACAAAUUGGAUGCGGUUGAAACAUUGUAAGAAAAAUGUAUUUCUUGGACAUCGUAGAUUUUUACCUUAUAGUCAUCAGUAUCGUGGGUGGAGAAAUGCAUUCAAUGGAAAAUCAGAGGAAGGUAAAGCUCCUUUAGCACCGACUGGAUAUCAAAUACUUGAAAAAGUACAAGGUUUGACCAAUAAAUUUGGCAAACCUUUUGCGGGAGAGCUGGUGAAAACUGGGUGGAAGAAAAAGUCAAUUUUCUUUGAAUUGCCAUAUUGGAAGUCAUUGUAUAUAAGAUAUUUCCUCGAUGUGAUGCAUAUUGAAAAAAAAUUAUUUGAUAGUGUUAUUGGUACGUUACUCAAUGUUCCAGGAAAGUCUAAAGAUGGCAUCAAUGCAAGAUUGGACUUGGUCGAUAUGGGAAUAAGAAAUAAAUUGGGUGCCGUAAAGAAAGGAAAUCGCACAUAUCUACCUCCAGCCAUUAAUACUCUAUCUAGAAAGGAAAAAAUUGAUUUAUGUAAAUUUCUACACGAAGUUAAAGUUCUAGAAGUAUACUCUUCAAACAUUAAAAAUUUGGUUUGUAUGAAAGACCUCAAGUUAAAAGGUUUGAAGACCCAUGAUUGUCAUAUUCUAAUGGAGCAUUUGCUACCAAUAGGUAUACGUUCCAUUUUACCUGAAAAAGUUCGACGAGCCUUAACUAGAUUAUGUUUCUUCUUCAGGGAAAUUUGUAGUAAAGUGAUUGAUCCUCAAAAAUUAUUGACAUUGUAGAGGGAAAUUGUUGUUAUUUUGUGUGAGCUUGAAAUGUAUUUUCCACCCUUGUUUUUUGAUAUAAUGGUUCACCUUACUGUUCAUCUGGUUAAGGAGACACAACUUUGUGGGCCAGCUUAUAUGAGAUGGAUGUAUCCGAUAGAACGAUAUAUGAAAAUAUUAAAAGGGUACGUAAAAAGUAGAAGUCGACCAAAAGGUUGUAUUGUUGAAUGGUACAUUGUUGAAGAAGCUGCUGAAUUUUGUACUAAAUAUCUGUCCAAUGUUGAGUCCAUAGGGCUUCCCAUGUCUCGUCAUUUGGGAAGAAUAUCAGGAGAAGGGAUAAUUGGAAGGAGAAUAAUGACUAUAUAAAGGACAGAAUGGGAGCAGGCACAAUUGUAUGUUAUGCACAAUGAUGAUGAGGUUCAACCAUAUGUUACAAUACACAUGGAUCAGUUAUCUCGUUUGAACAUGAAUAGGAAUCAAAAUUGGAUAACUCGAGAGCGCAAUCGAAGUUUUAU